CAGGAAUGAAGGAGUGGAACGAUUACAGUUUCCCCAUCCGUGAUCGAGAAUUCCAGCAGAAGGACCUGGAGGAAAAGAGAAAGAUAAGAAAGGAGAAAGACAGGGCAGUGAGAGACAGAGGGAGAAUUCACAUGCCAUCCAUUACCAUCUGUCAGACCCUUGCAUGCUGCAUCUUAGCCAGGGGGGGAGAGACAGAGCGCAUGAGAGGUGCUGCAGAUGGAAGGCCCGAAAGAGACGAGAUGACUUUACAAGACAGUUUGGAAGGGAGCAUCAAUAUUUCAUCACAACUGCAUUUACGCACACACAAACAAACAAACAAAAAAAGCGAUUGCAUCUGGAACUUUCCUGCGGCGCCUCUCUUCCUCUGAACGCUUCAGUCUCUGUCUCACUCGUUCACUCACUAAAGGUUUGUGUAUGUCUCUUCAGAGCACUGUUCAGAGACAGAGGGUGAAGUUUUUGACUUCAGACACGCCGAACAUGCUCUGAUUUUGAAUGAAGGCUCAGCUAGCAUUUUGCUAAGUACAAGUAAGACACAAUUUAUGGCAUUUUAAUCCUUAAGGGUUGUCAUUGUCAUUGUGUACAUGAAAGAUACAUUUCUCCCACUGAUGUGAAAGAAUAACUGAAAACAAACACAAAAUAUGACACUCUUAUCAUGAAGUCCACCUAGCUAUAGAACAAUCAUACACACACACUCACACACAAACAGAGGUACAUUUUCUCUAUCUCUUUUUUUUUUUUCAUACAGAGCUAGACGUGGACAAAUCACUAGCCUGGUCACCCAAGCAGACUUUGUGUCCAUGCUAUUAGCUUUUUAUUCAUAGUUGGAAGUAGAAAAAGAAAACCGUAAGGACAAAAGUUUUCAUUUAGUAUGCAUGCUUAAAUGUAAUGCACUUCACAGUAUUGUGACACACCUUGAUUCUGUAACUAAUCUGCAUGCUUCUGAAUGCCACUACCUGCUGCAGUGCACACAUCUGCAGUUUUUACUAGGUGGAUUCAUUAAAUCUUUUGUCAAGGUUGCAAACACAAUGUCCUCAAAAGCAUUAGCAAGAGAAAAUAAGGACUAUGGAUACUCAGUCUUCCCAUCCCUGGGUCAUGUCCUCAUGAAUUUCAUUCAAGGGCACAAUGGUGGUAAAUGGUGGGUAGCAUUGCCUCCUCACAGCUCCAAGGUCCUGGGUUUCAUCCUGAGCUUGGUUUACUGUUUAUGUGGAGUUUUGAAUGUUUGUGUGACUUUCCUCUGGGCUCCUCAGUAGAUGAAUUGUUUAUGCAAUAGUUCCCUUAGGUGUGAAUGUGUGUGUGCAUGGUGUCCUGCGAUGGAGUGGCAUCUCAUUCAGGGUGAAUUCUCUUGCCUAGCAUGCAGUGUUCCCAAGAUUGCUUGGAUUGGAUUGAAUGGAUGGA